AGUUAAAUAAUUUACUCCUCGAGGGAAUUACAAAUGAGGCACUGAAGGCGACGGGCGGUGUGCAAGAGCGGGUGAUGAAAGCAUUGGAUAAAGAAAAUGCUCCUAUGCCAGCAAAAAUGGUACGCUUAUAUUAUUAGUAUC